CCUUCCAUGCGCAGUCUAACUGCAGUCGAGCGGACAGAUGGGAGCUUGCUCCCUGAUGUUAGCGGCGGACGGGUGAGUAACACGUGGGUAACCUGCCUGUAAGACUGGGAUAACUCCGGGAAACCGGGGCUAAUACCGGAUGCUUGUUUGAACCGCAUGGUUCAAACAUAAAAGGUGGCUUCGGCUACCACUUACAGAUGGACCCGCGGCGCAUUAGCUAGUUGGUGAGGUAAUGGCUCACCAAGGCAACGAUGCGUAGCCGACCUGAGAGGGUGAUCGGCCACACUGGGACUGAGACACGGCCCAGACUCCUACGGGAGGCAGCAGUAGGGAAUCUUCCGCAAUGGACGAAAGUCUGACGGAGCAACGCCGCGUGAGUGAUGAAGGUUUUCGGAUCGUAAAGCUCUGUUGUUAGGGAAGAACAAGUACCGUUCGAAUAGGGCGGUACCUUGACGGUACCUAACCAGAAAGCCACGGCUAACUACGUGCCAGCAGCCGCGGUAAUACGUAGGUGGCAAGCGUUGUCCGGAAUUAUUGGGCGUAAAGGGCUCGCAGGCGGUUUCUUAAGUCUGAUGUGAAAGCCCCCGGCUCAACCGGGGAGGGUCAUUGGAAACUGGGGAACUUGAGUGCAGAAGAGGAGAGUGGAAUUCCACGUGUAGCGGUGAAAUAGCGUAGAGAUGUGGAGGAACACCAGUGGCGAAGGCGAGCUCUCUGGUCUGUAACUGACGCUGAGGAGCGAAAGCGUGGGGAGCGAACAGGAUUAGAUACCCUGGUAGUCCACGCCGUAAACGAAUGAGUGCUAAGUGUUAGGGGGUUUUCCGCCCCUUAGUGSUGCAGCUAACGCAUUAAGCACUCCGCCUGGGGAGUACGGUCGCAAGACUGAAACUCAAAGGAAUUGACGGGGGCCCGCACAAGCGGGGGAGCAUGUGGUUUAAUUCGAAGCAACGCGAAGAACCUUACCAGGUCUUGACAUCCUCUGACAAUCCUAGAGAUAGGACGUCCCCUUCGGGGGCAGAGUGACAGGUGGUGCAUGGUUGUCGUCAGCUCGUGUCGUGAGAUGUUGGGUUAAGUCCCGCAACGAGCGCAACCCUUGAUCUUAGUUGCCAGCAUUCAGUUGGGCACUCUAAGGUGACUGCCGGUGACAAACCGGAGGAAGGUGGGGAUGACGUCAAAUCAUCAUGCCCCUUAUGACCUGGGCUACACACGUGCUACAAUGGACAGAACAAAGGGCAGCGAAACCGCGAGGUUAAGCCAAUCCCACAAAUCUGUUCUCAGUUCGGAUCGCAGUCUGCAACUCGACUGCGUGAAGCUGGAAUCGCUAGUAAUCGCGGAUCAGCAUGCCGCGGUGAAUACGUUCCCGGGCCUUGUACACACCGCCCGUCACGCCACGAGAGUUUGUAACACCCGAAGUCGGUGAGGUAACCUUUAGAGCCGCCCCAAGGGACGGUAA
rnacentral:rRNA from 1 species